rnacentral:other from 1 species
GCAGCUCCCGCUCCUCGGAGCGGGAGAGGAUUGAAAC